rnacentral:rRNA from 1 species
UACGAAGGGGGCUAGCGUUGUUCGGAAUUACUGGGCGUAAAGCGUGCGCAGGCGGCUUCUCAAGUCAGGGGUGAAAGCCCAGAGCUCAACUCUGGAAUUGCCUUUGAGACUGAGUGGCUUGAGUACGGGAGAGGUGAGUGGAAUUCCCAGUGUAGAGGUGAAAUUCGUAGAUAUUGGGAAGAACACCAGUGGCGAAGGCGGCUCACUGGCCCGGUACUGACGCUGAGGCGCGAAAGCGUGGGGAGCAAACAGG